rnacentral:lncRNA from 1 species
CCUUAAAUUUGUUUAUGACAGGUUGAUUGUAAUGUAAUAAUCUAGUUUAACUAUAUACCACCUAAAUCAAUAAAAAGAGCACAAAUUAAUGGUCAGUUCUAUGAAAAUUCAGUUAAAUUCUUGAGAAAUAUUGAAAAAGGUAGUCAGAAAUAAUUGCUGUCUACUUAGGUGGAUGCCACAACGUGAAAGAGAGAGAGAAAAACCUGUAAACAUUCUGCAACCAAUUUACUUCAUAAGUAUCUUUAUCUUCUUAAUCCACUUUAAGGAAACAAACUGGAAAUCAAAGGAGGUGCAUAAUAUUGUAGAUUAUGAAAGAAAGAUAACUACAGGACUCCAAUCGGAGAAACCAUGCUCAAAAAUAGGCGUUGGUCUCACAUCAAAAGAUUGGGGAGUCCAAGGGAGGAUUUGCUCAAAGCCCAGUCCUGCAUUACCCUAAUAGAAAGUCAGAAGGAGUAGAAGUGGCAUUAAAACUGGAAGAGCAUUCCAUGUUUCAAAUAAAUUCCAGUAUUUUAGCAAAAAAGAGGGAAGAAGGAGAGAGGACCAGAGGGAGGAGGAAGAAGAAAAUAUAGAGAAAGCAUGUGUUGUGAAGCCUUAAUGAUUGCAGAAUCUGCACUGAUGGAUUAAUGGAGGUUCUUUAUACUGUUCUCUCUCCUUUACAUAUGUUUAUGAAUUUUCUUAAUAAAAAGCUGAUAAAGCAAGAUAUAGAAUAGUAUAUGGAGGGUGAAUUGUAUAGCAUAUAAUUAUAUUUCAAUAAAGCUAUUAUUUUGUAAAAAGAAUGCUAUAUAGAGUUUGCUACCUUUGGAAAGAUAAAUGUAUCCUACAUUACAUACAAUAUAAACAAAGAUAUAUUGUAAUACGUACAAUAAAAACAAACAAAAAAACCCUAAAAAAAAUGGCAGCCUCUACUGAGGUUAACACUGAGAGACAGAAGUGGAAAUGGUGACUCACUUCCUUGUGUAUCCUUCUAAUGUCUUAGAAGUCUGUAUUAUGUGUUUGUAUUAUCUAUCCAAAAAUUUGAAUCAGAAAAUUUAUAACUGAUGGGGAAGCAUUUCACAGCAUCUCAAGAAUCACAGCAAAAAUGUUUUAGAUUUGGUAAACGUGGUGUCCCUCAAUGAAAUGGCUGCAAUCAAAGGUUCUCAAAUCAGUGACUCCAGAGAGCAAAGCAAGGACUGAGGGACUUGGUGGCUGCUCUCAUGGGAAAUGCAACACUGCCAGUCACUGGUGCGGCCACUGGGAGUCUGCACUGACUGGACACCCUCUGGUAGAGCCUUGGCCCCAAGGCGACUGGUGAUUCCCUUCACUCAUUCAGCCCCACAGAAACAUAUAAAAUAGUUGCUCAAACCAGUGUAUAACAUGGCUACAUUUUCAAAUUGGCACUCGCUCUACUCCACCAAUCAACAAUAUUGAAAUUGAAAUCAAAAGUGAAAAGUAAAGUCAGUUGCUCUCUCCCAAAGGGAUUCUGAUGCCUGUGAAAAGACCUGCUGACCUGCUGGCUCACUCCAGCAAAAAGCACAAGAAGCCAGCUCUGCGGAAAGUAGGGGAAAGGGCAUCUAUUGCUCUGUGGGGCAAGGGUUGUUACCAGCUGACCUUUGAGAGCCCAUGAGUACAGCCAACUACACACAUAUUGGUCUUGGGGCUUGUUUCAUUACUUGGAAAAAUUCCCUUUAAAGGUUAAUGUCAAGAAAUAAACUCUGUUACAUUGAGUCCCAUGACUCAAGUGGACUUUGAAAAAACAUCUCUGGAAUGCUCUUUUCUCUGAGUAUCAGCCUCCCAUUUAAACUCCGUCUGAACUGAGGGCUUCCAAAAAGGUAUAUCGCUGAUCUGCAGGCCAGUAACAUACUCUGUUCAGUGUUAUGCAAGGAGAGUAUGUUUUUUGUCAACCCAGAACUCAAAGGCAGGGCUAACACCCAUGUAUCAUAAAGACUGCCUCAUACACUAACAUUCAACUAUUCAACUGAGAGGGGGCUCAAGGGGCUUUCUGAGUACCUAUAAUGUUCUAUUUCUUGAUCUGGGUGAUGGCUAUACAGGGUUGCUUGUGUGUGUAAAUUAAACUGUAAGCUUAUAAUUUGAGCCUUCUUCUGUAUGUAUGUCACCUCUAUUAAAAGCUGUAUUUAUAAAAACUCCA